UUUUAAAAAAUUUUUUUAGGCUUGUCAGUUUCUAUUAUUGGUUUGGAAAAAGCUUUGCAUCAGUACACGUUAGAACCUUCAGAAUUGCCCUUCGAUAUCAAAACUGUGCCUGUGGCUACUCAACCUUUGAUAGAAGAUAAGAAAGCUGAUGUUCCAAUCAUUGGGAAGUCCAAAGAUAAAGUUGCUGCUUCACGUCAAGAUAUAUUCGCAGAUCAAUUGUCAGCUGUUCCGGAACUCUCUUCAUUGAACUUGGGUCCAUUGUUUAAAUCUUCUCUUCCUAUUGAACUUACUGAAUCUGAGACUGAGUUUGUUGUUAGAUGCAUUAAACACACAUUCACUAGCCACAUUGUGUUGCAGGUAAGAAAA